rnacentral:lncRNA from 1 species
ACUUCAGUCACUGAACUUGCAUCCUCCAUAAACAAACCAGAAGUGAAGACCACACCACUCUGGGAAAUGGCUCUAUGGAAGAGGUUCUUGGCCAGAGGAGACAAUACCUAGCAGGAGAGAGGAGUGGAGGAAAGAAUUUAUGCACACAAGCAGUGCCUGGAAGAUGUAGAAGAGUGUUUGAGAGAGAGCCAUGACUUGCUCAGGAUAAUGCCUCAUGGGAAAAAUGUCACCGGAGCCUUAUGGUCUUCAUCCGUUAAAUAAGACAAUUAAAAUGAAGCAACUUCAAAUCUCUUUACAUAAGGAGAUGUGUAGUACAAUGUGUAGUAGUGGAUGCAGUGCAAGCUGUUUUCACAUAAUUACAAUUGUCCGUUAAACAGUUAAACUACUGAAGGGCUGAGACACUUCACCACCACUGUGACAAAUGCCCCCUGCUUUGUGUCGCCAGUCAUGUGGUAAUGAAAUGUCGAUGACACAGAUGCACUUUUUAAUAAGCAUUAAACACUAGUCUCACCAGCUCUAAGAGAAACCAGAAUGCUUACAAGAAUAUCGCGAAAACCUUAUAUACAAAUAUUAAAUCCUUCUGGACAAGGGGGACUUGAUAGAAAAUCCACCCCUUGUCAAUGAUGGAGCCUCAUUCACUCCCAGGCUCCAAAGGCUGAGGAGUGAGAAUUCUCCAAGGUCGGGACAGCGUUUGUUCUCCUCUUGUAGUUUCUGCUUUGAGAAGCUUCUUCAGGUCACAGAGGAAAGCAGGAAAAGCUGACAGGCAUGGCUCUUCUCAAUGGUAUCAGUGCGCCCUCUUGUGGACCCAGCCUGAAUUUGCAUGGAGAGAUUUCUUUAUAGUAUUUUAUGCACUAUGGAGCUACACCCUUGGUCCUGUGAAGGCUCUAUGCCCCAGAGUAGGGUAAUGCCAGGACCAGGAAGCAGAAGUGGGUGGGUUGGUGAGCAGGGAGAGGGGGGAGUGGAUAGGGGAAGGGGUCUUUAGAGGGGAAACCAGGAAAGGAGAUAACAUUUGAAAUGUAAAUAAAGAAAAUAUCC